UACGGAGGGUGCAAGCGUUAUCCGGAUUCACUGGGUUUAAAGGGUGCGUAGGUGGGUUGGUAAGUCAGUGGUGAAAUCUCCGUGCUUAACAUGGAAAUUGCCAUUGAUACUACUGGUCUUUGAAUUUUCUGGAGGUAAGCGGAAUAUGUCAUGUAGCGGUGAAAUGCUUAGAUAUGACAUAGAACACCGAUUGCGAAGGCAGCUUACUACAGGGACAUUGACACUGAGGCACGAAAGCGUGGGGAUCAAACAGG
rnacentral:rRNA from 1 species